rnacentral:lncRNA from 1 species
UAUAAGCAAAGAACAAACAAUUAGAUUAUAAAUAUAAAAUUCCGUUUCUCCCAUGUACAGAAGUACAUUUGUUUGUUGCUAUUUGGUAAGUAUCAUAGAAUAUAUAUAGAUAUAUUUGAUAGAUGAAGAAAGCUCUCUUAAUACGAAAAAGGGAGGGGAAGAAGGGCUACAAAGAUGGCUGGGGAAAUACUAUUUAAUGUUCAUGUCAGUAGGAAGUACAAGUAGUAUGGUGUGUCAGUGUAACUAUGAGUAUGGAAAUUAGUGAAUAAUAUCAUCAUCCAUUUGAUCACGUCAUGAAAUACUACUUUGCAAUAAUUUCAUUAUUUUCUCAUUUCCUAUUCAAAAUUGUUCAUUGUCUUGAAAAUGUUUCAUCCAUACCUGUUUUCCCACCCAAAUAUCAUGAAUCCGGGGGACUACCCAUGAUAUCAGACUCUGCCUAUAGUCUUGUUAUACUGAUAUAUGUAUCCCUGUCAUUUUUGUGUAUAUUCUUUUUAUUUUGUUGGAAAAGUUCAAAUGGAAAGGGAAGUGAAACAGAUUCUGGGAAAAAAUACCACGGAUCCUCAGUCAAUUGUCCCCUUCUUAUACAUGAAGCCGUUGUGAUACCUCCAACUCCGACACACAAACCCACACAAAAUUUGAUUGGUUUCCCUGAAGAAGCUGCCACUCAAGUUUGAUGAUUGACGAACAUAAGGGUGUUUAUCAAACAUAAUUAUGCCAAAGUUCCUUAUUGGUCAGACUCCUUCAAUAAAACAAAGUGAAAGCUUUUCUUGAGAAGUGCAUAUUUCAACCAUGGACAAUACAAAGGAUUUAAAUCAGUUCAAAGUUAUACAAAUAUUUUUCAAACUAUUAAUUAAUUCAUUAUUGAUCCUUUUAUUUUAAUAAGUUUAUACAUACAUGCUUACAAACUAUAAAUAUAUAAAUGUUUCUUUUACAAAAUUUUAUAGAUUGAAUAUAUACUCGUAUAUAUAUAGAGAACAUACCUAAAUAAAAAAUAUUAUCUAUUUAAUGUAAUGACAUAAUUAGAACAAAUAUGUGUGAAGCAAACUUUCACAUUCAAUGAAUGGUUUACAUAGAAUGCUAUACAUAUAUAUUUAAAACCUCAAAACAAGAUUAUAAGACUUGUGGGGUUUAAAUCCUAUAAUCUGUAAUUGCUCGACUUAAGAUCCUAGAUAAGAGGUACGUAGUUGCCACAACAUUAUCAGAAUCAGCGGAACCUAAUUUUUGGUACUGCGGUUAGGUAAGUAGAACACAAAUACAAAAUUUCAGCAAAUUUGGUUAACGUUUACCUCUAGGACAAUUGCAAUUUCUAAACACGUAUGAAGCAAAAUUUUGUUGUUGAACUUUGUUUUAAAAAUAUGUAUUUAAAUAAAAUAUUUCUAUGAACAAUGAAA